rnacentral:rRNA from 1 species
UACGUAGGUGGCAAGCGUUGUCCGGAUUUACUGGGCGUAAAGAGCGCGCAGGCGGUCGUUCAAGUCGCGUGUGAAAGCCCCCGGCUCAACUGGGGAGGGUCACGCGAUACUGAUCGACUCGAAGGAAGGAGAGGGUAGUGGAAUUCCCGGUGUAGUGGUGAAAUGCGUAGAUAUCGGGAGGAACACCAGUGGCGAAGGCGACUACCUGGCAUGUUUCUUGACGCUGAGGCGCGAAAGCUAGGGGAGCAAACGGG